rnacentral:sRNA from 1 species
CAGUGGCAUGUCCCCACGGUUGCGUCUGACGGGUGCGU